UACGAGAGGCCCAAACGUUAUUCGGAUUUACUGGGCGUAAAGGGCGCGUAGGUGGCCCGCUAAGUCGAACGUGAAAUCCCCAGGCUCAACCUGGGAACUGCGUCCGAUACUGGCAGGCUUGAAUCCGGGAGAGGGAUGUGGAAUUCCGAGUGUAGAGGUGAAAUUCGUAGAUAUUCGGAAGAACACCAGUGGCGAAGGCGGCUCACUGGACCGGUAUUGACGCUGAGGUGCGAAAGCGUGGGGAGCAAACAGG
rnacentral:rRNA from 1 species